rnacentral:rRNA from 1 species
AUUGAACGCUGGCGGCAGGCUUAACACAUGCAAGUCGAGCGGAGAUGAGGUGCUUGCACCUUAUCUUAGCGGCGGACGGGUGAGUAAUGCUUAGGAAUCUGCCUAUUAGUGGGGGACAACAUUCCGAAAGGAAUGCUAAUACCGCAUACGUCCUACGGGAGAAAGCAGGGGAUCUUCGGACCUUGCGCUAAUAGAUGAGCCUAAGUCGGAUUAGCUAGUUGGUGGGGUAAAGGCCUACCAAGGCGACGAUCUGUAGCGGGUCUGAGAGGAUGAGCCGCCACACGGGGACUGAGACGCGGCCCAGACUCCUACGGGAGGCAGCAGUGGGGAAUAUUGGACAAUGGGGGGAACCCUGAUCCAGCCAUGCCGCGGGUGUGAAGAAGGCCUUAUGGUUGUAAAGCACUUUAAGCGAGGAGGAGGCUACUGAGACUAAUACUCUUGGAUAGUGGACGUUACUCGCAGAAUAAGCACCGGCUAACUCUGUGCCAGCAGCCGCCGUAACAC